GGAUCGCAUGGCCUUGCGCCGGCGACGGUUCAUUCAAAUUUCUGCCCUAUCAACUUUCGAUGGUAAGGUAUUGGCUUACCAUGGUUUCAACGGGUAACGGGGAAUUAGGGUUCGAUUCCGGAGAGGGAGCCUGAGAAACGGCUACCACAUCCAAGGAAGGCAGCAGGCGCGCAAAUUACCCAAUCCCGACACGGGGAGGUAGUGACAAUAAAUACUGAUACAGGGCUCUUUUGGGUCUUGUAAUUGGAAUGAGUACAAUUUAAACCUCUUAACGAGGAACAAUUGGAGGGCAAGUCUGGUGCCAGCAGCCGCGGUAAUUCCAGCUCCAAUAGCGUAUAUUAAAGUUGUUGCAGUUAAAAAGCUCGUAGUUGAACCUUGGGUCUGGCUGGCAGGUCCGCCUCACCGCGUGUACUUGUCCGGCCGGGCCUUCCUUCUGGAGAACCUCAUGCCCUUCACUGGGCGUGUUGGGGAC
rnacentral:rRNA from 1 species